ensembl:lncRNA
CUAUGACCAACCUAGACAGCAUAUUAAAAAGCAGAGACAUUACUUUGCGGACAAAGUUAUGGUUUUUCCAGUAGUCGUGUAUGGAUGUGAGAGUUGGACCAUAAAGAAGGCUGAGCAUUGAAGAAUUGAUGCUUUUGAACUGUGCAGUUGGAGAAGACUCUAGAGUCCCUUGGACUGCAAGGAGAUCUGACCAGUACAUCCUAAAGGAAAUCAGUCCUGAAUAUUCAUUGGAAGGACUGAUGCUGAAGCUGAAACUCCAAUACUUUGGCCACCUGAUGUGAAGAACUGACUCAUUGGAAAAGACCCUGAUGCUGGGAAAGAUUGAAGGCAGGAGGAGAAAGGGAAGAUAGAGGAUGAGGUGGUUGGUUGGCAUCACUUACUCAAUGGACAUGAGUUUGACCAAACUUUGGAAGUUGGUGAUGGACAGGGAAGCCUGGAGUGUUGCAGUCCAUGGGGUUGCAAAGAGUCAGACACAACUGAGCAACUGAACUGAGCUGAACUGAACUGGGGGGACAUAAAGACCAAAGAAAUGCUUUCCUGAACCUGAGAUGAGGAUCCUGGGCAGGAGGCAAAGGCGGAGACAGAUCACAGGGCAGGCCUAAUGCUUUAGCCACUCUGGUCUUCCGGCACUUAAGAGCACGAACUGAGCCAAGGCCUAAAGGAGGAGGAAACAAUUAUCUCCUGGGAAAGGCCUCUGUAAUCUGGAACACAACAGAUUUCUCAGAGUGGGAGUUGAGAAAAGAGUGUCUCCCGGUUCUUGAUGAAACUUUUCAGUCUGUUUCAAGGACUUGCACCUGGGAAAAAUCACUGGCUUCUGGAAACAGUAUUAUUCUGUUAUUUAGGAACAACUUGCUGACGAGCAUCAGGAAAUCACCCUCAAUCAACUAUACUCCUUGUUAAGUGCUAGAAGACUCAUUAGAUAAUAACUCUAUUACAACAAUAAUGGUAAUAAGAAUGGGCUUUUAAGAGCAAUUAUUGAGUGCUUACUUCUAGGUGGCUGCUGCUGCUGCUACUGCUAAGUUGCUUCAGUCGUGUCCGACUCUGUGCGAC